AUUGAACGCUGGCGGCAGGCUUAACACAUGCAAGUCGAGCGGAGAUGAGGUGCUUGCACCUUAUCUUAGCGGCGGACGGGUGGGUAAUGCUUAGGAAUCUGCCUAUUAGUGGGGGACAACAUUCCGAAAGGAAUGCUAAUACCGCAUACGUACUGAGGUAGAAAGUGGGGGACCUUCGGGCCUCACGCUAUUCGAGCGGCCGACGUCUGAUUAGCUAGUAGGUGAGGUAAAGGCUCACCUAGGCGACGAUCUGUAGCGGGUCUGAGAGGAUGAUCCGCCACACUGGGACUGAGACACGGCCCAGACUCCUACGGGAGGCAGCAGUGGGGAAUAUUGGACAAUGGGCGGAAGCCUGAUCCAGCCAUGCCGCAUGUGUGAAGAAGGCCUUUUGGUUGUAAAGCACUUUAAGCGAGGAGGAGGCUACCUGGAUUAAUACUCUAGGAUAGUGGACGUUACUCGCAGAAUAAGCACCGGCUAACUCUGUGCCAGCCGCCGCGGUAAGAC
rnacentral:rRNA from 1 species